ACCUCAUCAGGUAUACCUUUUGUGGUUUGGCUACUUAGAUUCUGAUCAAUGAGGUUCACCGAUUGGACUUGCGGAGUUUACUUGUAAGACUUUGCUGAGGAAAAUUAAUCACCAUUGCUAAUCCUGCUCUUCCUUUGUAUUAAGAUCAUGUUGUUUGGCUUCAAUGCUACAUGUUAUUUUGACAUGUUAUGGAUAAUAUUGGAAUCUAUUUCAAUACAUUAGGACUGGGUGGUGUUUCGUCAAGUUGGUUUAGAGUGUGGAUUUCAGGGAAGAACAAAUAAGUUGGUUGAUGGAUGCUAUUCGUUUUGGCAGGGAGGCGUUUGCUCACUAUUAAAAAGAUUAAGUUUGGAUAUUGAUGAACAAUCAGUUCAACCUUAUGCUCGAGAAGGCUCUUCUUUUGAUGAUCUAUCAACUGAGGCUUAAGAAUGUUUUAUGCUGAAAUAAACACAAGAGCUCGACCUCUUACUUGGGUUUUUGUUAAGUGUGCUCAAUAGCCGGGCAGUACAGAAUGUGGGUAUUACGUGAUGAAGUUCAUGCAAGACAUAGCAAGGCAAAAGAGCAUUACAAUUACAGAUGUGUUGACGAGACAAGCACCUUAUACUCAAUCUGAAUUGGAUAUGGUGAGAGUGGAAUACUGUGACUUUCUAGGACGCUACAUAUGAUACAUGUUUUUAUUGCAAUGAACAGGUAGUUUUUAUAUUUAUAAUUUAGGUAUAUCUUGAUACGAUGUCAAUUUCUGUAGGAUUAUGUCUUGAUCAUAUUUGUAGAACAACAUUGGUUUACAGUUGAUUAAUGAAAAUUAAUUAGU